CUGCUACUCUGAGUCUCCGCUCUCUGCUCCGUGUCCCGCUCACGGCUCGGGAAACCAUUUGUCCCAUCCUAGCGCCCCACCUCCCAACCUUUCUAACUUCCCGGUCCCACCUGCAUCCUUCACCACCCCUCUCCAGGCGUACGCAGAAGCACCCCUUUCACUCGGUGUCUUCUGCUAAGAAAAUCUCAGAGGCACUGGAAAUACUUCCUCUGACAGAACACGCUGCUGUUUAUGGAUCCUGCUGGCAUCCAUUUCAGGCAUAAUCGCCAACUCACAGGAUCUGAGAUGUGUUUGAUUAGCUGUACUUCAAGAUGGCUAGAGGUUACCCUGCUUCACACGAAGCUUUAAACAGCCCAUGGAAACAAUCCAUUAACAAAAAGCAUCAGGGAGCAAUUAAGAAAUUGUUGAAAGUUUUCUAGGUAUGA